GAGAAGGGGAGAGGUCGGGACGCCGGCGGAGGCCGUAGCCGGUUUUCUGUUUUGAACAACAUAGGGGUCCGGCCGCGGCCUUCAAAAAUUUUGGAUUUCACUUAAAAAUCACAUUUUUUUUGUGGAGUUUUCAAGUUGAUUUAAUUUGUAAUCACUCUUUUUUCCAAUGAUUUUAAGUCUAUUUUGAUAUUUUUUGACAUUUUUUGAUGUUUCUAUGAUCCUGUUUUAACCUAAAUGAUGCAUCUUAUUGUUUUAAAGUGAUACAAAAUAUAAAAUGAUUAGUAAGAUGUUGCAUGCUAUAAGAAGCAACAUAAAAUAUUCUCAAAUCAAGUAGUGAGAUAAAAAUAUAAAAUAAUACAAUCAAUUAUAUAUAUAUAUUUAAAGUACAAUAUAUAUACCGAUAUCUAAAAUCUCGUUGAGUGGCAAUAUCUCUCAUAAAUAUCCGGAUUAUAAGUAUAGUCAGAAGGCACAUCAGCCUGCCCCUCUAAACAAGCGGCGUUGUAGUCUUGUAUGUUCAUUACAUAAGAAAUGCGCUCCGGGUUAUAAAUACUCUCGAAUCUCUCACUAAAAUUCUGGCUCUAAGAGUUGUCCUCUGGCUGAUGAACUAGCUGAUAAAAUAAUUGUGAAGGGGCCCAUACGAAUAAGCCGGAAGCAAAAGGCGGAAAGCUCUCUGCCGCUUAGAAAUAAUUUUCGCUGAGGAGAAGGGCGAAAGACGGAAAGCUCUCUGUUGAUUAGAAAUGAUGUUGGAAAGGCCUUCUCGGGCUUUUCCAACAUCAUUUUAGCAAACAAAAAAAAUGGGAGAGGGCCCAGUUCAGAAUCGGGUCGACUCGAUGCGAACCGUCUGAACCGGCCGAUUUCAAACAGUUCCGGCUGGUAUGGUCCGGUUUAGAUCUUUUUCGGCCGGUUCGGAACCCAUUUCGGAUAGUUUGGAGCUGAAACCAACUCCAAUGGCCAAACCAACCCGAUUUCCCACUAGGUCGGCUCGGUACAGGCCGAACCCGACGGUUCGUCUGGUUCGCACUGAGUUGACCCAAUUUUGAACCGGGACCUCUCCUUUUCUUUGUUUGCUAAUAAAAUGUUGGGAAGGCCUGAGAAGGCCUUCCCAAUAUCAUUUCUAAGCGGCGGAGAGCUUUCUGCCUUUCUUCUUUUCCCUCACGGCCAAAAUCAUUUCUAAGCAGCAGAAAGCUUUUCGCCUUUUGAUGUCGUCUUAUUCAGAUGAGCUCCUUUACAGCCAUUUUAUCAGCCAGUUUAUCAUCCAGAGGACACCUCUCAGAGCUAGAGCUUCAGCAAGAGAUCCGAGAGUGCUUAUAACUCGGAGCGCAUUCCUUAUGGUAUGAAUAUACGAGACUACAACAUCACUUGAUUAGAGGAUUGGACUGAUGUGCCUUCUAACUAUACUGAUGAUUUGGAUAUCUGUGAGAGACAUCGCCACUCGACGAGAUUUUAGAUAUUGGUAUAUAUGUUGUACUUUAAAUAUAUGUAAUUGAUUGUAUUAUUUUAUAUUUUUUACCUCACUACUUGAUUUGAGGAUAUUUC
rnacentral:lncRNA from 1 species